rnacentral:lncRNA from 1 species
CCAUAUAGCCAGUGGCCGCACAUGGAAGAUACUAGUCACUAAGUCUGUCUGAUCUUUUUGAACCUGGGCGGCCGUCCACUUACAUUCAGAGGGUAAAAACCAUGAUGUUCUUGAAACCACCCUUCAAUACCAAUUCCGCCCAGAGGUGAAUUAAGUCCUCAAUUACUACUCAAUUUGAUUAUAUUUAUAAUCCUCACAUAAUCUCAAUGUAUACACGAACCACCCCCGUCUACAAAGCAUAGCAAACUACAACUACCACGAUUUGCAAAAGACGGGAAGAUAGCUCAACAUCAUAUAGCAAAAUAAUAUAGUAUUCCUAUACAUGCAUAAAUUCAUAGUGUGAUAUAACUACAUGCAUAGAAAACAAUAGGUAAAGGAUGAUCAACAUGUAACUUGCCUUGGUUCUGGUUCAGAAAGUCACACUCCUGACAAUAGUUUGCCUCGCACUCCGGACAAUCUACACGUUUCACACAAUUCAGCAAAUCAAUCACCGAAACACGAAUAGGACCAAAAUAAAAACCAACAGCAAGAAAAACCAUUUUAAAAUACAACAACAGCAGCAUAACAACACCUAAAUUGUACUACGGUCACAAUGCAAAAAGAAUCACUCGAAUCCGAUAAACGGUUUGAGAGAUACGGCCUCCGGAAGGUUUAUUUCAAAUUCAAACGAAUUCAAAUUUGAAAAGUGCAAACAUGUGCAAACUUGGUACUCUAAUAAAGUGCUGAUUUUUGUGAGAUCAUAGGAUAAAGAAUUACCUAAUUUGGGUAUACAGAAUAAAAGCUAUAGCUAUUUGAAGUUUUGAGUGAAAAACUGGAAAAAACAAAAACAGCAACAGAGAUCGCCUGGUCCUGUGCGGCACUGUAGCUGCGCCUAUAGCAGUAUGCCACGUGGCAGUUUGUGAUUGGCCAAAGGAGUUCCUUGUGCGUUCGUGCUCACCAGAACAGAGGAAGGGCGGCGGCGGUCUCGGGCGUCGGCGGUGGCGCUCCUCCGGCGAUGCUCCGGCGAAGUUGAGGGGGUGGACGGGUGCGGCGUUGAGUGGCGGAGGCGGUGGUGGUGUUCGACGACGGCGAGGACCUCCUCUGCGGCUGCGGUGGCGGGGUGAACGUGGCGUGCUCCGGCGGUGGCAGACGUCGGUGGCGGCGGUGUUCAGCAGCGUCUCAGGCGACAAAACGACGUCAAAACAGUGAAGAGAUGAGCGGAUGGUCGAGGAGAGUAAACGGGGUGGUCCGAGGCGUCCUUACGGCGGCGGGAACGACUGGCGAACGGCGGCGGCGGCGGAGCUCCGCGGCGAGAUGCGUUUCGCCCUCGCUCGAGCGUGCGGCAACGAGGAAGAACGAGGAGUGGAUGCGGGGUCGCCCUGGGUCUUCUGCUUGCACACGGCAACUCGGGAGCGCUCGAGGUGGACCAGGGACGCGGGGUAAACCGGCUCGGCCUCGGCGUGCGCGCGGCGUGGCUGCGUCCGGCUUGGGGUGGAAGAUGGGUGCGGGGCCCGCUGUCAGUGGCUGGGGCGAGGGGUGGAUCGGGCGCGGGCCGGGUGCGAGCGUGCGGGCGUACCGCUUCGCUAGGUUUAGCGGGCUGCGGGCGGUGGGGUUUGGUGGGCCGCAGCGGUGCGGGGGACUGGGCCGCGCAGUGCGGGGUUAGGUGGGCCGCGGCGUCGGCUGGCUGGCUGGGUAGCUGGCUGGCCGGCUGUUUUUUUUAGAACACAAAACUACAGAAAUACAAAUAACUAAAAUAAAAUAACCACAAUAAAAACUAAACAAAAAUAUAGAGACACACUGUAAAAUAUUUACUACUAAUAUAAACUACAUGAACAAUAGUUCCUCACCUAAUGCAAUUUUAGAAAUUCAUUUUGAUGCAAUAGGACACUCAAACAACAAUAAAACAAUCAAAUAAAAUAUUUUUAAGAUUGCAAAAAUUACCAGAACAUAUCACAUGAACUGUAAAUAAUAUUCUGCACAUUAUGAACAUUUUUAAAAUAGGGGAGAAGUCAUGUUAUCUCCACUCCAAAUAAAUUGCCUUUUGUUGCAUAAUGAUUUGAAUAUUCUGAAAAAGCAAAUAAUGCAAUAAAAUUAUGAUAUGCAUAUGAAUGAUCUAUUAACAUCCUAAUUUAGAAAAAUUGGGAUGUUACAAACCUACCCCCCUUAAGAUGAAUCUCGCCCUCGAGAUUCGGGUUGGCUAGAGAAUAGAUGUGGGUGAUCCUGCUUGAGAUCUUCCUCUCGUUCCCAGGUAGCUUCCUCCUCUGUAUGAUGAUCCCACUGAACCUUGCAUAACUUGAUUGUCUUGGUGCGAGUAACUCUCUCUGCUGUCUCCAGAAUCUUAACAGGCUUCUCCUCAUAUGUCAAAUCACUCUCCAACUGAAUUGCCUCAAGUGGCACUGUGUCCCUCAAUGGAACAUCCAUCAUCUCUGCAUGACACUUCUUCAACUGAGAUACAUGAAACACAUCGUGAACUCCUGACAAGGAUUCUGGCAACUCCAACUGAUAAGCUACCUCUCCUCUACGCUCCAAGAUCGUGUAAGGCCCCACAAAACGUGGUGCUAACUUACCCUUAAUUCCAAACCUCUUAAUUCCACGAAGUGGUGAAACUCUAAGAUACGCACGGUCUCCUACCUCAUAUGUCACCUCCUUACGUUUUGCAUCUGCAUAACUCUUCUGUCUGGACUGUGCUAUCUUCAGCCUGUCACGAAUCAACUUGACCUUCUCCUCAGCAUCUCUGAUCAAGUCUGGCCCAAAGAACUAACGCUCUCCAACCUCAUCCCACAUUAACGGUGUCCUGCACUUUCUGCCAUACAAUACCUCAAAUGGUGCCAUCUUCAGACUAGCCUGGUAACUGUUAUUAUAUGAGAACUCUGCAUAAGGUAAAUUAUCAUCCCAACUGGACCCGUAGUCCAAAGCACAAGCUCUCAACAUAUCCUCCAAAAUCUGAUUUACCCUCUCUGUCUGCCCAUCUGUCUGUGGAUGGAAAGCUGUACUGAACUCCAGCCUGGUGCCCAAGGAUUCAUGCAACUGGCGCCAAAACUUAGAUGUGAACUGAGUACCUCUAUCAGACACUACCUUCCUUGGAACUCCAUGUAGACAAACAAUUUUAGACAUAUAAAUCUUUGCUAGCUGAGCACUGGUAUAAGUAGUCUUUACCGGGAUGAAGUGAGCAACUUUAGUCAAACGAUCAAUAACUACCCAAAUAGAAUCAUAACCUGACCGAGUCUUGGGUAGACCUGUAAUAAAAUCCAUACCAAUCUCAUCCCACUUCCAAUCAGGUAUAGGCAAUGGCUGUAACAAACCUGCUGGUCUCUAAUGUUCUGCUUUAACUCUCUGGCACACAUCACAUGUUGCAAUAUAUCCAGCAAUUUCCCUCUUCAGGCUAGGCCACCAAAACCUUUCCCUCAAAUCCAAAUACAUCUUAGUAUUACCUGGGUGAAUAGAAUAAGGUGAAUCAUGCGCCUCCUGAAGAAUCAACUUCCUGAUGUCUGCAUCCUGAGGUACACAAAUACGCUUCUCAAACCAUAUGGCCCCAUGUUCAUCCUCAUGGAAACCUUCUGCUUUACCUUUAACCAUGUUCUCUUUUAUCUCAGCAAUCUCCUUAUCACCCUUUUGAGCUUCUCUAAUCAUGUCAAGCAAAGUAGGCUUUACCUCAAGUGUUGCCAAAUAUCCCUUCGGAACCAUCUCCAACCCGAGAUUCCUGAAUUGUUCACAUAACUCGGGUGGCAUAUUAUCAAUAUUAAUUGCAUUAGCAUGGCUCCUACGACUCAAUGCAUCAGCAACAACAUUAGCCUUACCAGGAUGAUACUGCACAUUCAAAUCAUAAUCCUUAAUAAGCUCCAACCAUCUCCUCUGCCUGAGGUUCAAAUCCUUCUGAGUAAAAAUAUACUUCAAGCUCUUAUGAUCAGUAAAUAUAUCACAACGAUUACCAAUAAGGUAUGGCCUCCAAGUUUUCAAUGCGUGCACAACUGAGGCUAACUCCAAAUCAUGGGUAGGAUAAUUAUGCUCAUGAUUCUUAAGCUGACGUGAAGCAUAUGAAACAACUUUACCUUCCUGCAUCAAAACACUCCCAAGUCCUUGACGAGAAGCAUCACAAUAUACCUAGAAGUCGUUAUGUAUAUCUGGCAGUGUUAAGACUAGUGCUGUAACCAAACGCUGCUUCAAUUCCUGAAAGCUGGCUUCACAUUCAUCAGUCCAAACAAACUUCUUCUCCUUCUUCAACAAUUCAGUCAUAGGCUUUGCAAUCUUGGAAAAGUUUUCAAUAAACCUCCUAUAAUAACCUGCAAGGCCCAAAAAGCUGUGAAUCUCCCCAACUGUCGUGGGUGUCUCCCACUCUGUAACUGCAGCAACCUUAGAUGGAUCAACUGCAACUCCAUUACCUGACACAACAUGUCCAAGGAAAGCUACCUCAUCCAGCCAAAACUCACAUUUGCUGAACUUGGCAUACAACUGAUGUUCCCUCAAUUUCUCCAAUUCCAAACGCAGAUGCACCUCAUGCUCUUGCUUAUUCUUGGAGAACACCAAUAUAUCAUCAAUGAAAACAACCACAAAUUUAUCCAAGAACUCCAUAAACACCUUGUUCAUCAUAUUCAUGAAGUAUGCAGGAGCGUUAGUCAGUCCAAAUGACAUAACGGUAUAUUCAUACAACCCAUACCUCGUGGUGAAAGCAGUCUUUGGAAUAUCUUGCUCGCGAAUCUUCAAUUGAUGAUAACCAGAACGGAGAUCAAUCUUAGAAAACACAGUAGCUCCCUCCAACUGGUCAAAUAGAUCAUUUAUCAUAGGCAAAGGAUACUUAUUCUUAAUGGUUACCUCAUUCAGAGAACGAUAAUCAACACACAUCCUCAAGGUUCCAUCCUUCUUCUCCACAAACAAAACUGGAGCUCCCCAAGGUGAUGAACUUGGGCGAAUAAAUCCUUGUGCCUGCAAUUCUCUUAUCUGCUUCUUCAAUUCCUCCAACUCUUGAGGAGGCAUUCUAUACGGUCUCCUUGCAAUAGGUCCAGUGCCUGGUAUUAAAUCAAUAAGAAACUCAAUAUCCCUAUCUGGUGGCAUACCUGGCAACUCCUCUGGAAACACAUCUGGAUAAUCCCUCACAACUGGCACCUCUUCCAGGCUACCCCCCUUAAGAGAGUUCACCUGCACCUGAUUACGCUUAUACUUACACACAUAUUUGAUCCUCUUCCCUCCUGGUGCACUGAGAGUAAUAGAUCGACUGGCACAAUCAAUACGACCUUUAUAUAACUGCAACCAAUCCAUACCCAAAAUAAUAUCCAGACCUUGUGACUUCAAUAUAAUCAAAUCCGUAGGAAACUCAUGCUUCCCAAUAGACAAAGUCAACUGAUGACAACCAACACCUGCUAUCAUCUCAGCUCCUGGGGAGCUCACUCUAAUAGGCAUACUAAGGGUUUUUGUUGGCAAGAAUAGAUGAGUCAUAGAUACAAUAGGGCCAAAAACUAUGUAUAUAUAAAUAUAUUCUACCCAUAUGCAUAAUAUGAUCAAGCCAACAAACACAACAACGAAUAACACCAACACACAAACAACAAACAACAAACAAUAAUAUGAUAAUAUUAUAUAUAUAUAUAGUCGAAUAAUUUCGACAAGAUAUAAAUUAACAAACAAACUACCAAUCAAGCAACAAUCUAGUAUCUUCAUACCACAAAAGUGGGCAUAAUCAGAUACGCUAACACGAUAGCGUUGCAAUAUAAAACAAGCAUGAAUGGUGGUCUCAGCACUAGUUCCUACUUAACUGGCAACAUACUUGAGGGGCUUAACUAAUAAACAGUAAGAAGUAUAACUAGUUGAUAAAUAAUUUUCACUCCUAUGGCUUUUAUAAUCCAUUUUCUAGGGUCACGUCCUACAGUCAACACACUGCUCUGAUACCAUCUGUAACGACCAAAAUCUCGAAGGAUUUGAGUCUCUGUGCUUACCGUGCUAGUCCCUGGAUCGAACUCGCUAGCACACACAGUAUAUACCAGAAUAGCAAGUGCAUCAUUUAUUACAUCGUAUGAUCCAGAAUAUAUAAAACAAAACAAUCUGCAUAGCACUUGGCUAGCUUUAUUCAAUCAAACAGCGGAAAGUAGCAGAAAAUAACGAUGAGUCCCAUCAUAGCCCACUGGCGAUGCUGAGUGCAGACUCGCGACCCUAACGGUACCUUACUCGUCAUCUGAAUAUCCUGCAACAUGAGACGUUGCAGCCAUAUAGGUCAAUACUUUGAAUGUAUUGGCAAGUUACACAGGAGUAAUAAUAUAGCAGACCUACAUGUAUAUGCAUAGUACAACAAAGGAAGGCUUGAGGGUUUAUUUUUGCAUAAAGCUGAUUUUAUCCUAAUAAAUACCUAAUAGUCAAAUUUUUAUUUAGUUCCUUAUUACUACAAUUAAAUACACAAGGUUGAGUUGGCAAAAUCAACUCCAACCUACCCUUUAUUAAGUUGCCCACAAAUAUUAUUAAGUGUCACAUCUGUCAAGAUCAUCCAACAACUGUAAUGGCAUAGUGGCUCAAAUUUACCCAUAACCGGGGGCACGGCUAAUCAUGAUUAGUUUUAAUACUCUGCAGAGUUUUGUACGCUUUACCCACUGGACCCAAUCCGAAGAUUAAGAUGAAGUCUUUCAGAAGCAGUCCCCUAGUCCCAACAGGAGGCCCAUCCCAACUAUUAUAUCUACAUCUGCUGGCACAUCCGAGUAAGGGUUCCACAACUGAUCAACUAAGCCAGAGCCCAUAUAGCCAGUGGCCGCACAUGGAAGCUACUAGUCACUAAGUCUGUCUGAUCUUUUUGAACCUGGGCGGCCGUCCACUUACAUUCAGAGGGUAAAAACCAUGAUGUUCUUGAAACCACCCUUCAAUACCAAUUCCGCCCAGAGGUGAAUUAAGUCCUCAAUUACUACUCAAUUUGAUUAUAUUUAUAAUCCUCACAUAAUCUCAAU